AAAACAUGUGAUCCAAUAAUAGUUAUAUAUGUCCUUGCCCACAUGUCAGAUAUAAUUUAAUUGAAGAGACAGAUUGUGUGGUUUACAAAUUUUUGGGAUUUAAUUUGCCUGUUGGAAUGGACCAGGCCUUAGAAAUCAUACCCAGCACACUAGUAUCCAUCAGAACGUUCAUGAUGAGAUGUUAAACUAAGAAUAGUGUGAAAAGAGGAUACUGGUUGCACCCACUUCACUAAAUAAAAUAUUACCAACCGUGAUAUACUGAGAAGAAAGAUGUUUUCUCUUACGGUAAACAUCACAAGAUAGAUGUGUGGCUGUAGUCUGAGAAUGUAAGUGAACAGACAGAUCUCUUGUGUCACAUUUUGCAUUUCACUUAUCACAUUUUGUGUGUCUUAUCACCUUGGUGAUUCAUUCAUCUCAGACGUCAGUUUACUUUAAUCACCUGCUGAGAGUUAAUUUAUUUUGGGCAUUAACCUAAUGUGAUAGAACUCUAGCCGCAUUUUUUAGACAUCUUUGAAUAUCGAAAUCUUCCAUGAAUACGGGCCCACAAGAUCCUUUUGAAAACAUUUUGUUUCUUCACAAAAAUGUAUUUCUCAUUAAACAGCUUCUCAAUUAUAUUAAUGCAAAUCGAAGGACUGGUCAGGACAUACAUUGUGCAUGAGAUAAAUGGCAUGGCACGGAUACAAGGAUAAUAUUAAAAUGGAUCUGGGGCAAAUAUGAUGUGAGGAUGAUGAGUGGAUCAUCUGUUUCGUUGGAAAGUGAGGAAUUUAUUAUUCAGGUGAGUAAUUGUAGUUAAGGCCUAUAAAUGUUGACACUUGACUUCCUAAAACUGCAUUGUGCUUUCUUGUCACCAGGUAAGCGUCUGUGUACUGGUGAAACAUUUUCCCGCCAAUUCAUCUUCCUGAUUCUGUCAGCACUGCUGCAGAACUUUACUGUGAAGGGUGCCCAAGGAAAACCGCUGCCCACCACAGAUCCUGAUCUGCCAGAAUCAGCGUGAUGGCGCUGGGACGGAAUCAAGGCCACAGGUUAAAGAACACGCCUGACCGGAAGCUCCUACUUUAAAUAAAUAGAUACUCAAAUGGC